rnacentral:rRNA from 1 species
UACGGGGGGGGCAAGCGUUGUUCGGAAUUACUGGGCGUAAAGGGCGCGUAGGCGGCCAUCUAAGUCAGACGUGAAAUCCCUCGGCUCAACCGAGGAACUGCGUCUGAUACUGGAAGGCUUGAAUUCGGGAGAGGGAUGUGGAAUUCCAGGUGUAGCGGUGAAAUGCGUAGAUAUCUGGAGGAACACCGGUGGCGAAGGCGGCAUCCUGGACCGAUAUUGACGCUGAGGCGCGAAAGCUAGGGGAGCAAACGGG